AAUAAGCGGAGGAAAAGAAACCAACAGGGAUUGCCCUAGUAACGGCGAGUGAAGCGGCAACAGCUCAAAUUUGAAAUCUGGCUCUUUCAGAGUCCGAGUUGUAAUUUGCAGAGGGCGCUUUGGCGUUGGCAGCGGUCCAAGUUCUUUGGAACAGGACGUCACAGAGGGUGAGAAUCCCGUACGUGGUCGCUAGACUUCGCCGUGUAAAGCCCCUUCGACGAGUCGAGUUGUUUGGGAAUGCAGCUCUAAAUGGGAGGUAAAUUUCUUCUAAAGCUAAAUACUGGCCAGAGACCGAUAGCGCACAAGUAGAGUGAUCGAAAGAUGAAAAGCACUUUGGAAAGAGAGUCAAAUAGCACGUGAAAUUGUUGAAAGGGAAGCGCUUGCAGCCAGACUUGCCUGUAGUUGCUUAUCCAGACUUUUGUCUGGUGCACUCUUCUGCGGGCAGGCCAGCAUCAGUUUGGGCGGUUGGAUAAAGGUCUCUAUCACGUACCUCUCUUCGGGGAGGCCUUAUAGGGGAGACGCCAUGCAACCAGCCCAGACUGAGGUCCGCGCAUCUGCUAGGAUGCUGGCGUAAUGGCUGUAAGCGGCCCGUCUUGAAACACGGACCAAGGAGUCUAACAUCUAUGCGAGUGUUUGGGUGUCAAGCCCAUACGCGUAAUGAAAGUGAACGGAGGUGGGAACCUUUUAGGUGCACCAUCGACCGAUCCUGAUGUCUUCGGAUGGAUUUGAGUAAGAGCAUGGCUGUUGGGACCCGAAAGAUGGUGAACUAUGCUUGAAUAGGGUGAAGCCAGAGGAAACUCUGGUGGAGGCUCGCAGCGGUUCUGACGUGCAAAUCGAUCGUCAAAUUUGGGCAUAGGGGCGAAAG
rnacentral:rRNA from 1 species